rnacentral:rRNA from 1 species
GAUGAACGCUGGCUACAGGCUUAACACAUGCAAGUCGAGGGGAAACGCCGGGGAAGCUUGCUUCUCCGGGCGUCGACCGGCGCACGGGUGAGUAACGCGUAUCCAACCUGCCUCUGACUGAGGGAUAACCCGUCGAAAGUCGGCCUAAUACCUCAUGGUAUCGUCUGCGGGCAUCCAACGACGAUUAAAGAUUUCAUCGGUCAGGGAUGGGGAUGCGUCUGAUUAGCUUGUUGGCGGGGUAACGGCCCACCAAGGCUACGAUCAGUAGGGGUUCUGAGAGGAAGGUCCCCCACAUUGGAACUGAGACACGGACCAAACUCGUACGGGAGGCAGCAGUGAGGAAUAUUGGGCAAUGGGCGAGAGCCUGAACCAGCCAAGUAGCGUGCAGGAAGACGGCCCUAUGGGUUGUAAACUGCUUUUAUGCGGGGAUAAAGUGAGGGACGUGUCCCUCAUUGCAGGUACCGCAUGAAUAAGGACCGGCUAAUUCCGUG